UGAGGAACCUGCCCUUAACUCUGGGAUAAGCCUGGGAAACUGGGUCUAAUACCGGAUAUGACUCCUCAUCGCAUGGUGGGGGGUGGAAAGCUUUUUGUGGUUUUGGAUGGACUCGCGGCCUAUCAGCUUGUUGGUGAGGUAAUGGCUCACCAAGGCGACGACAGGUAGCCGGCUGAGAGGGUGACCGGCCACACUGGGACUGAGACACGGCCCAGACCUCCGUACGGGAGCAG
rnacentral:rRNA from 1 species